rnacentral:rRNA from 1 species
GACGAACGCUGGCGGCGUGCUUAACACAUGCAAGUCGAGCGGUAAGGCCCUUUCGGGGGUACACGAGCGGCGAACGGGUGAGUAACACGUGGGUGACCUGCCCUCAGCUCUGGGAUAAGCCCGGGAAACUGGGUCUAAUACCGGAUAUGACUCCAUGACGCAUGUUGUGGGGUGGAAAGCCUUGUGCGGCUGAGGAUGGGCCCGCGGCCUAUCAGCUUGUUGGUGGGGUGANGGCCUACCAAGGCGACGACGGGUAGCCGGCCUGAGAGGGCGACCGGCCACACUGGGACUGAGACACGGCCCAGACUCCUACGGGAGGCAGCAGUGGGGAAUCUUGCGCAAGUGGGACG